rnacentral:rRNA from 1 species
UACGUAGGGUCCAAGCGUUAUCCGGAAUCACUGGGCGUAAAGCGUGCGUAGGUGGAUUGUUAAGUGCGAUGCGAAAUCCUGGGGCUCAACCCCAUGGACUGUAUAGCAUACUGGCAAUCUAGAGGACAUGAGAGGCAAGUGGAAUUACCGGUGUAGCAGUGAAAUGCGUAGAUAUCGGUAGGAACACCAAUGGCGAAGGCAGCUUGCUGGCAUGUAUCUGACGCUAAGGCACGAAAGCGUGGGGAGCGAACAGG